rnacentral:misc_RNA from 1 species
GAAAUGCGAUAAGUAAUGUGAAUUGCAGAAUUCAGUGAAUCAUCGAAUCUUUGAACGCAUCUUGCGCUCCUUGGUAUUCCGAGGAGCAUGCCUGUUUGAGUGUCAUUAAAUUCUCAACUCCACUCCAGUUUUUUGAAGCUGGUGUUCGGGGCUUGGACAUUGGGGGUCUAUGCCGGCCUUUGUAAAACGAGGUCGGCUCCUCUGAAAUGCAUUAGCGGAACCGUUUGCGGUCCAUCACAGGUGUGAUAACUAUCUACGCCGUGGGGCUGCUCUCUGUCUGUUCAGCUGCCAAUCGUCCUUCCAGGGGACAAUCUCUGAACAUUUUGACCUCAAAUCAGGUAGGACUACCCACUGAACUUAAGC